AAAUUUACCAACGAAGAAGAACCCGCAUUGUUUUGUUUUCGACUAAGGAAGCUAAAGCUAAUGCUAAGCCUCUAAGCUCAUCCUAAUAAAACACUUGAUUCGUUUUUCAAUAGAAACAUUUCGGAUGAUAUCGUACCUGCUUUCCUUACCCGAGUAUUUGUAUUAACAUCGUCUUAAUGUUUUUUUUUGUUGUGUUUCUAAAGCUAAUUUGUUAGCUAAACAAGCUAGUUUUCUGAGUGUAAGGCUAAGAAUACGCCUGCAUUAGCAUUUUGUAGCUUGAUCCAUGUCGAAUAUCGCUCUAGAAAUCUCCACUCGGUGUAUUUUUUAUACUCUUAUCACGUUUAACACGUUUUUUGGUGGUUAGAAGUUUUGAAUAAGUUAUAACGAAGAGGUGAGUUUAAAAAAACAAAAGGACCAGAAAAGGUGUAAAGUCUCUGAACUGUCGUCAGGAUGGUGUGUGAGCUGCUGCUGUCCUCAGUCUGGCUGCUGUUUGUGGUUUUCUGGGUUGAGACCAUCAGCGUGUGGCUGUUCCUCUGUCUCUUCUACCAGGACAGAGCUUUCUAUCACUGGGGUGAUGGUGUCUUUGCUGAUGAUCCUGGUCAGAUGCUCUACAUGCUGAGCAGGUCCGAUCGCUCCAUUCACACCCAGACCUGAGUUUGCGGCCUUGUCCUCAGCUGGGAACGCCGAUAAACCAAAUAGCUGGGGAGGACAAUGGCUUCCUAUCCGACUGCUUAUGCCUUUUAACAAUCUGUGCCAUGGCUAGCGAUGGAGAAUUAAACCACAGAGCUUGUGGCCAAGCACAGAUUCUGUGUUGGUUGUUAUAAAGGGAAGUUGUAUUAUGUUUCACACUUUGUCUCCACUUAAAUGAGUUUCUUUUCUCUUAAAAAAAAACAACAAAAAAUGGCAGUUCUGUGUAGCAAAGAUGCUACAAUCUGUCUAACUCUGAUUUUAAUCUUAUGUUCCUGGUGCCUGUGAUCGGAGAAAAUGCUUUGGAACGGCCUUGUUUUAAUUUACUCGCUUUAGGUCAUUCAUACUUCAUAUCACAAUGACUUGUUGUGAUAUGACUUUUUUUAGUCUGUGCGGUGGGUUGUGAGGAUUUCAGGAGACAAAGACACUCUAUAUUUUCAUAAUUGCCUUUUUCUUUUAAUAAAAAAAAAACACUGAUCACUACAACGUGCAGCAAACCUAAAAGAGAUUUAAUUAAACUACACAAUAUAUCACAAUAUAACUGAAUGUAGAAUCAAAGAUACGAUAGGACAAGAAAGGAUAACUGUAAUCACAUUCGUCUGUCUAAAGACACACACACACGCACACACACUUGUGUGAACCUAAAAACCCUUGUUUGCACUAGUUCCGGAUAAUAAUCAUGAAGUUUAAACACCCACGUUUGUUUUAUGCUUGGAAAUUGAUAGUAGGCAGAUUUUUUUUCACAUCUUUAGGUGAUUCGCAAAACAGAGUCAGCUUUUUGAUUCAACUCAUUUCGUUGGACAUUGAGUUGAUUCACAGGGGUGAAUUUGUUUUUGAGUUUACAAUUAUUUAAAUAGAUUUUAUAUGAUGCAGCACAAAGUAGUUAUUUUGCUCAUUUCGAAUACUUUCAGCUAUAUUUAGGCAAAGAAGAGCAAAUGGCCCAAUGAGUCGUUUUAGAAUCGACUCUUGUUCGCGAGAUGAGUUAAAUAAUCUGAUUCACUGAAAGAGCGGGAAUUCUCAUGUCCAGCAGGAUCACUGUGGAUGUACCACUCCUUUCCUACAUGCUUCAGUUUUACCAUUGGCCAAUCAUAGACAGGCUUGAGGUUAAAGGGGCGGAGCUUACUGCCAUGAGGUAAAAUUAACUGUUAGCAUUUAGCUUGUUCUUUCCAUCUGCUGCUUUUUAAUUUUUUUUUUUAUGUGUAUAACUCUUUAAGUGCUCAGCAGGAAAAAUCCUUUUAUGUGAAAACAAACCCAACUACCAACUGAGUUUGUAAACCUAAUUCUUUUUUAUUUUUCAUUUAUUAUGAUUCAUGACUCAUAUCAUUUUUUUGUCAUAUCAAGCGACUCUCUAAUGUUAUUUAAUUUCGACUAAAUAUUUUUUCCCCUGAAUGUAUCAUCUAGUUUUUGUUUUUUGUUUUUUUUUGUUUGUUUGUUUUAGCCUAAAUUUCCCAAAUAUAUCGCAGUACAAUGCCGGUUGUUAAAAUGGUACAGUGAGCGUUAUAUUUUUAACUUUCUACCUCUUACUCUACGUUCAUGCAAAACAGCAUGCAAACAUUUAUUUCCAGUUUGUGUGAGCAACAAAAUUUGAGAAACAUGGCGCUUGAAUUGAGAUUUUCGCCCAGCUUUUCGCCUCAGACUGACACGAUACGCGAUAUGAUGUGGUCCAACAAUUUUAAUUUUCAGUUCCCCCACUACCUUAGUUUCCAUUUACUGUUUAUUGCAAAAAGGGAUUUGUCUCAUCCUGUCGUAUGCAAUCUCUUGUUAAAUGGAUUUCUUUAUAUAUAUAUACACACACACGUGUGUGUAUAUAUAUAUAUGUAUACUACCAUUUUACGUUGUAACCAAAGGAAAAAUGCUGCGCAGUGCAUGAGAGACGAGACAAAUAGACAAGUCACUAUGUGAAUGUAGGGUCGAAACAAUCCCAAUUUUGCGACUUUUAAAAACCGGACAUAGAUGGCACGAAGACCUCAGACACAGUGGUCCAGAGCACAGAUUUGUUUUUGUUUUUAAUUAGAAACUGUACCACUAUUUUUUUCAUGCGAAUGAACUGUACAAGUUUUAGCUAGCCAUGUGACUUUUUUUCUAUAUAAAAAAAAAAAGGAAUAUGCUGUACUUUUUCUUUUUUAAAUGUUUCACAGAAGGGUUGUGCCAUCUGGAUUUAUAUGGAUUUAUUUUUGUUCCAUCCAAUAAAACAAACAUGUUGUAAACAUGAA